UACGUAGGGUGCAAGCGUUGUCCGGAAUUAUUGGGCGUAAAGAGCUCGUAGGCGGUCUGUCGCGUCUGCUGUGAAAACUCAGGGCUUAACCCUGAGCUUGCAGUGGGUACGGGCAGACUAGAGUGCGGUAGGGGAGACUGGAAUUCCUGGUGUAGCGGUGAAAUGCGCAGAUAUCGGGAGGAACACCGGUGGCGAAGGCGGGUCUCUGGGCCGAUACUGACGCUGAGGAGCGAAAGCGUGGGGAGCGAACAGG
rnacentral:rRNA from 1 species